CCAACUGAGUAACUAGGGGUGGGUAUCACAAAUAUGUACCUUCACGUCAAAAGGUUGGUGACUUUUUCAAGCAAGAAUAAAGUGCAAAAAGCUGAAUAAAGUACUUCAAGUAAAGGCAAAUCACUCCAAGAGCUAAGAAAAGUCUAAACUGAACAAGAAUAUGUGCAUGUAUAAUUUUUCCAAUGAGGAAAACGAUUAGUAACCAUAGUAGGUAAAGGGAGACAAGGAAAGAAGGAGAGUAACCUUGGUGCAUACACUCUUCACUGCAAUGCUUCAAAGUAGGGGUCUAGGGUAAGAGCUCAAGUGGAAAUAAAGGAUCAAGUAGCAAAGAGAG
rnacentral:lncRNA from 1 species